CGAGUAGAGUGGCGCACGGGUGAGUAACACGUAGGUAAUCUACCUUUGGGUGGGGAAUAACAGCCGGAAACGGCUGCUAAUACCGCAUAAUGCAGCGGCUCGACAUCGAGACAGUUGUUAAAGCGGGGGAUCGCAAGACCUCGCGCCUGAAGAGGAGCCUGCGGCGGAUUAGCUAGUUGGUAAGGUAAUGGCUUACCAAGGCAUCGAUCCGUAGCCGGCCUGAGAGGGCGGUCGGCCACACUGACACUGACAUACGGGUCAGACUCCUACGGGAGGCAGCAGUCGGGAAUUUUGGGCAAUGGGCGCAAGCCUGACCCAGCAACGCCGCGUGAAGGAUGAAAUCCCUCGGGAUGUAAACUUCGCAAGAACAGGAAGAAUAAGUAGGGGACAAUACCCCCUAUGAUGACGGUACUGUUUGUAAGCUCCGGCUAACUCCGUGCCAGCAGCCGCGGUAAUACGGGGGGAGCAAGCGUUGUUCGGAUUUACUGGGCGUAAAGGGCGCGUAGGCGGUCGUGACAAGUCACUUGUGAAAUCUCCGGGCUUAACUCGGAAAGGUCAAGUGAUACUGUCGGACUAGAGUGCAGAAGGGGCAACUGGAAUUCUCGGUGUAGCGGUGAAAUGCGUAGAUAUCGAGAGGAACACCUGCGGCGAAGGCGGGUUGCUGGGCUGACACUGACGCUGAGGCGCGAAAGCCAGGGGAGCGAACGGGAUUAGAUACCCCGGUAGUCCUGGCCUUAAACGAUGAAUGCUUGGUGUCUCGGGUUACAUAGUCCCGGGGUGCCGUCGCUAACGCUUUUAGCAUUCCGCCUGGGGAGUACGGUCGCAAGACUGAAACUCAAAGGAAUUGACGGGGACCCGCACAAGCGGUGGAGCAUGUGGUUUAAUUCGACGCAACGCGAAGAACCUUACCUGGGCUAGAAUGCCUCUGACAACCCUAGAGAUAGGGCCUUUUGGGUAAAACCAGA
rnacentral:rRNA from 1 species